rnacentral:rRNA from 1 species
GACGAACGCUGGCGGCGUGCCUAAUACAUGCAAGUAGAACGCACAGUUUAUACCGUAGCUUGCUACACCAUAGACUGUGAGUUGCGAACGGGUGAGUAACGCGUAGGUAACCUGCCUGGUAGCGGGGGAUAACUAUUGGAAACGAUAGCUAAUACCGCAUAAUAUUAAUUAUUGCAUGAUAAUUAAUUGAAAGGUGCAAUUGCACCACUACCAGAUGGACCUGCGUUGUAUUAGCUAGUAGGUGAGGUAACGGCUCACCUAGGCGACGAUACAUAGCCGACCUGAGAGGGUGGUCGGCCACACUGGGACUGCGACACGGCCCAGACUCCUACGGGAGGCAGCAGUAGGGAAUCUUCGGCAAUGGACGAAAGUCUGACCGAGCAACGCCGCGUGAGUGAAGAAGGUUUUCGGAUCGUAAAGCUCUGUUGUAAGAGAAGAACGGGUGUGAGAGUGGAAAGUUCACACUGUGACGGUAUCUUACCAGAAAGGGACGGCUAACUACGUG